rnacentral:rRNA from 1 species
GGCGACCGGCGCACGGGUGAGUAACGCGUAUGCAACUUGCCUAUCAGAGGGGGAUAACCCGGCGAAAGUCGGACUAAUACCGCAUGAAGCAGGGGCCCCGCAUGGGGAUAUUUGCUAAAGAUUCAUCGCUGAUAGAUAGGCAUGCGUUCCAUUAGGCAGUUGGCGGGGUAACGGCCCACCAAACCGACGAUGGAUAGGGGUUCUGAGAGGAAGGUCCCCCACAUUGGUACUGAGACACGGACCAAACUCCUACGGGAGGCAGCAGUGAGGAAUAUUGGUCAAUGGCCGAGAGGCUGAACCAGCCAAGUCGCGUGAGGGAUGAAGGUUCUAUGGAUCGUAAACCUCUUUUAUAAGGGAAUAAAGUGCGGGACGUGUCCCGUUUUGUAUGUACCUUAUGAAUAAGGAUCGGCUAACUCCGUGCCAGCAGCCGCGGUAAUACGGAGGAUCCGAGCGUUAUCCGGAUUUAUUGGGUUUAAAGGGUGCGUAGGCGGCCUUUUAAGUCAGCGGUGAAAGUCUGUGGCUCAACCAUAGAAUUGCCGUUGAAACUGGGGGGCUUGAGUAUGUUUGAGGCAGGCGGAAUGCGUGGUGUAGCGGUGAAAUGCAUAGAUAUCACGCAGAACCCCGAUUGCGAAGGCAGCCUGCCAAGCCAUUACUGACGCUGAUGCACGAAAGCGUGGGGAUCAAACAGGAUUAGAUACCCUGGUAGUCCACGCAGUAAACGAUGAUCACUAGCUGUUUGCGAUACACUGUAAGCGGCACAGCGAAAGCGUUAAGUGAUCCACCUGGGGAGUACGCCGGCAACGGUGAAACUCAAAGGAAUUGACGGGGGCCCGCACAAGCGGAGGAACAUGUGGUUUAAUUCGAUGAUACGCGAGGAACCUUACCCGGGUUUGAACGCAUUCGGACCGAGGUGGAAACACCUUUUCUAGCAAUAGCCGUUUGCGAGGUGCUGCAUGGUUGUCGUCAGCUCGUGCCGUGAGGUGUCGGCUUAAGUGCCAUAACGAGCGCAACCCUUGCCACUAGUUACUAACAGGUAAAGCUGAGGACUCUGGUGGGACUGCCAGCGUAAGCUGCGAGGAAGGCGGGGAUGACGUCAAAUCAGCACGGCCCUUACAUCCGGGGCGACACACGUGUUACAAUGGCGUGGACAAAGGGAAGCCACCUGGCGACAGGGAGCGAAUCCCCAAACCACGUCUCAGUUCGGAUCGGAGUCUGCAACCCGACUCCGUGAAGCUGGAUUCGCUAGUAAUCGCGCAUCAGCCAUGGCGCGGUGAAUACGUUCCCGGGCCUUGUACACACCGCCCGUCAAGCCAUGGGAGCCGGGGGUACCUGAAGUCCGUAACCGCGAGGAUCGGCCUAGGGUAAAACUGGUGACUGGGGCUAAGUCGUAACAAGGUAGCCGUACCGGAAGGUGCGGCUG